rnacentral:ncRNA from 20 species
ACUGCAAUGGGUGUGAUGAAGUCCGGACAGUAAUGUGGGCACUUAGUCCGGACCGAGCAAGUAGUGCAACCGACCAGAUGCAAA